rnacentral:rRNA from 1 species
UACGGAGGAGGCAAGCGUUAUCCGGAAUUACUGGGCGUAAAGCGCACGUAGGCGGCUUUCUAAGUCGGGGGUGAAAUCCUGGAGCUCAACUCCAGAACUGCCUUCGAUACUGGAGAGCUUGAGUCCGGGAGAGGUGAGUGGAACUGCGAGUGUAGAGGUGAAAUUCGUAGAUAUUCGCAAGAACACCAGUGGCGAAGGCGGCUCACUGGCCCGGUACUGACGCUGAGGUGCGAAAGCGUGGGGAGCAAACAGG